CCUACGGGAGGCAGCAGUGAGGAAUAUUGGUCAAUGGACGAGAGUCUGAACCAGCCAAGUAGCGUGAAGGAUGACUGCCCUAUGGGUUGUAAACUUCUUUUAUAAAGGAAUAAAACGAGGCACGUGUGCCUUUUUGCAUGUACUUUAUGAAAAAGCAUCGGCUAACUCCGUGCCAGCAGCCGCGGUAAUACGGAGGAUGCGAGCGUUAUCCGGAUUUAUUGGGUUUAAAGGGUGCGCAGGGGGUCUGUUAAGUCAGCGGUAAAAGCCCGGGGCUCAACCCCGGCGAGCCGUUGAAACUGGCGGGCUGGAGUUGGAGAGAGGUACGCGGAAUGCGCGGUGUAGCGGUGAAAUGCUUAGAUAUCGCGCAGAACCCCGAUUGCGAAGGCAGCGUACCGGCUCCACACUGACGCUGAGGCACGAAAGCGUGGGUAUCGAACAGGAUUAGAUACCCUAGUAGUC
rnacentral:rRNA from 1 species